GACGGAGGAUGCAAGCGUUAUCCGGAAUGAUUGGGCGUAAAGCGUCCGCAGGUGGCAGUUCAAGUCUGCUGUCAAAGACCGGGGCUUAACUUCGGAAAGGCAGUGGAAACUGAACAGCUAGAGUAUGGUAGGGCAGAGGGAAUUCUUGGUGUAGCGGUGAAAUGCGUAGAGAUCAGGAAGAACAUCGGUGGCGAAGGCGCUCUGCUGGACCAUAACUGACACUCAGGGACGAAGGCUAGGGGAGCGAAUGGGAUAGAU
rnacentral:rRNA from 1 species